UACAGAGGUCUCAAGCGUUGUUCGGAAUCACUGGGCGUAAAGGGCGCGUAGGUGGCCCGACAAGUCCGUGGUGAAAGCUCGACGCUUAACGUCGAGUCGGCCAUGGAUACUGUUGGGCUGGAGCACUGUAGAGGCUCAUGGAAUUCCGGGUGUAGCGGUGGAAUGCGUAGAGAUCCGGAAGAACACCGGUGGCGAAGGCGGUGAGCUGGGCAGUUGCUGACACUGAGGCGCGACAGCGUGGGGAGCAAACAGG
rnacentral:rRNA from 1 species